rnacentral:rRNA from 1 species
GACGAACGCUGGCGGCGUGCUUAACACAUGCAAGUCGAACGGAAAGGCGCUGCUUUUGUGGGGUGCUCGAGUGCCGAACGCGUGAGUAACACGUGAGUAACCUGCCCUUGGCUUUGGGAGAACUCUAGGAAACUGCGGAUAAAACCGGAUAGGAGCUCCUGCUGCAUGGUGGGGGUUGGAAAGAUUCGGCGGUUCGGGAAGGACUCGCGGCUUCUCCGCUUGUUGGUGGUGUAGUGACUUACCAAGGCUUUGACGGGUAGCCGGCCUGCGAAGGUGACCGGCCACAAAUCGACAGCGGUACGACCCACAAUCCUACGGGACGCAGCAGUGGGGAAUAUUGCUCAAUAGGCCGAAGUGUGAUGAAGCAACGCCGCGUUCGGAAUGAUGACCGUCGAGCUGUCAACCUCUGUCGCCGGUGAUGAAGCGUUAGUGACGGUAAUGGGUGAAGAAGCACCGGCUAACUACGUG